AAUCCAUAGGUUAAUGAGGCGAACCGGGGGAACUGAAACAUCUAAGUACCCCGAGGAAAAGAAAUCAACCGAGAUUCCCCCAGUAGCGGCGAGCGAACGGGGAGGAGCCCAGAGCCUGAAUCAGCAUGUGUGUUAGUGGAAGCGUCUGGAAAGGCGCGCGAUACAGGGUGACAGCCCCGUACACAAAAGCGCAUGUGCUGUGAGCUCGAUGAGUAGGGCGGGACACGUGGUAUCCUGUCUGAAUAUGGGGGGACCAUCCUCCAAGGCUAAAUACUCCUGACUGACCGAUAGUGAACCAGUACCGUGAGGGAAAGGCGAAAAGAACCCCGGCGAGGGGAGUGAAAAAGAACCUGAAACCGUGUACGUACAAGCAGUGGGAGCACAGGUUUACCUGUGUGACUGCGUACCUUUUGUAUAAUGGGUCAGCGACUUAUAUUCUGUAGCAAGGUUAACCGUAUAGGGGAGCCGGAGGGAAACCGAGUCUUAACCGGGCGUUAAGUUGCAGGGUAUAGACCCGAAACCCGGUGAUCUAGCCAUGGGCAGGUUGAAGGUUGGGUAACACUAACUGGAGGACCGAACCGACUAAUGUUGAAAAAUUAGCGGAUGACCUGUGGCUGGGGGUGAAAGGCCAAUCAAACCGGGAGAUAGCUGGUUCUCCCCGAAAGCUAUUUAGGUAGCGCCUCGUGAAUUCAUCUCCGGGGGUAGAGCACUGUUUCGGCUAGGGGGCCAUCCCGGCUUACCAACCCGAUGCAAACUGCGAAUACCGGAGAAUGUUAUCACGGGAGACACACGGCGGGUGCUAACGUCCGUCGUGAAGAGGGAAACAACCCAGACCGCCAGCUAAGGUCCCAAAGUCAUGGUUAAGUGGGAAACGAUGUGGGAAGGCCCAGACAGCCAGGAUGUUGGCUUAGAAGCAGCCAUCAUUUAAAGAAAGCGUAAUAGCUCACUGGUCGAGUCGGCCUGCGCGGAAGAUGUAACGGGGCUAAACCAUGCACCGAAGCUGCGGCAGCGAACGUAUCACCCAAGACAACUUUACGGAGUUGACGAUUGACGGAGCGAAGCGACGUCAAAGCGUUCAUUAAAGUCGAGUUGGCUUAGGGAUACGUUCGUUGGGUAGGGGAGCGUUCUGUAAGCCUGUGAAGGUGGCCUGUGAGGGUUGCUGGAGGUAUCAGAAGUGCGAAUGCUGACAUAAGUAACGAUAAAGCGGGUGAAAAGCCCGCUCGCCGGAAGACCAAGGGUUCCUGUCCAACGUUAAUCGGGGCAGGGUGAGUCGACCCCUAAGGCGAGGCCGAAAGGCGUAGUCGAUGGGAAACGGGUUAAUAUUCCCGUACUUGGUGUUACUGCGAAGGGGGGACGGAGAAGGCUAUGUUGGCCGGGCGACGGUUGUCCCGGUUUAAGCGUGUAGGUGUGUGUUCCAGGUAAAUCCGGUUCACUU
rnacentral:rRNA from 1 species